AAGGAUUAUACAUUUUCAGGCUCCGCAAGGAUGAAAAGGGAACCCCGUGAGAAUCGGGGACGGGCCCGCCGCUGUAUCCGGGGACGAACGCUGCAUGAUGUCACUGACCAAAAGGUUGGGAAGGCGCAGCAAGUAGGUUGAUCCGGAAGUCAGAAGACCUGCCUGAAAAGAUGACUAGCG
rnacentral:ncRNA from 2 species